CAUGCUUUGAAGUGUUCUUUUUUAUGUGGAAACAACUUUUUGUGUCUUACUUUAAUUUGUCUUCCUUGAUCCUUGAAUGUAGAUAUGUUCAUUUCUUCCUGUUGAAGUUCUUUUCCUAUUUCAUACAUAGAGUACUAUGGUAUUAAGCAUAACUCAAAACCUAUUGUGGGAAGGCAGGCAAAAUCAAUAUGCUUUCGUGUUAGUCCUCAUGUUAAAAUGAGGUUGUUAAGAAAAGAGGGUAUUGAAUUGUGUGUUGGUGUCAUCUUUGUUGAGCUUUUUUAUAGAAAAAAAGUUGUCUGGUGAACUUGAAUGGCUUGCUAAGUUUUGAGCAUAACCCAGAACUAUUGUGGAAAGACAUGCAAAAUCUAUAUGCUUUCUUGUUAAUCGUCAUGUUAAAAUGAGGUAGUUAAGAAAAGAGGAGAUUCACUAGUGUAUUGGUGUUGUCUUUGUUGAACUUCUAAAUAGAAAAAAGUUGUCUGAUCAACUUGAAUGGCUUGCUAAGUUUUGGAUUUUCAAGGGAAAGAUAGAUCAAUAAGCUAUGACAAUUACUUAAUUGUGUCAUAAAACUCUUUGCAUUGGCGCUGCCACAAGAAAUGCUGGAUGCAUUUAUCUACUUAUUGCCUGUUUAACCUGAUUAAUUUUUAGUGGUUCUGAUUAUUGUUGGAAGGAUGGACUUGCAGAACAAAUUACGGCUAAUGCUCCACUCUUAUUCCUAAUGUUUCUUAGUGGUUUACACCUUGUUUUAUUGCAUUUGCAUAAAGUGGUUUGUUUAAAGUACUACAUGUGCCUGCCUGCUUGAUUACUUGUGAAUAGUGUCCAAGACACCAGACUUGGGGAGUGGGAGUGGAAUUAGAGCAUGUUUUACAUAAUCAUUGAAGUAAAAUCAAAGUUGAAAGUGUUAUUUGUUUAAUUUUUGAUAAAAAUCAAUUUGAUGCUAUUAUUAGUUUAAAGUGUAAAUUUGGAAAAACAGCUGCGACUGCACAAGAAACAAAAAUAGCACGUAAACCUUGUAUAGUGAGAAAGAUAAAUUGAUAGAAUGUUUUAAAGAUGUGAAUAAUUCAUCCUUAGAAUUUCUAGAUAUAGCAGGAGCAUGAAUAGCCUUCCUUCAUAGUGGGCACGUUCAGCAAGUUUGAGGUGAUUCCGCAGGUAUAAAUAUUAUCUGUUCUUGGCUCAUUUCAACCACCUUUUUGGUAUAAGAAGAGGUGAAAGCAACUUCCUUUCUUAGUUGGAGACAAAAUGUAAAACAUGAUUUUAUUAUGAGCCAUAGUGAUGGAAGAGUUGAAGUAAUAUCAUAGGAAUCAAGUUUCAAAUCCGAUGAGACAUUAUUAGGUUAAUUCUUCCAAUUUGCCUACUUAGUGGGAAGUAGUUACUCUGUGCAUGUGCUAGUAGUAUAUACCCCGUAGAGUUGAUGGAGAUUCACGUAGGUUAGCUCGGGCAUCAACAUAAAAUAGAAGUACAUAGACCAAGUUAUUCUCAGCAAAAAGGAAGGAGGUUUACGGAUUGGGAAUCUGAAAUCCAGAAUCAAAGCUUACUUAUGAAGUGGCUAUGGAGGUUUGACUCACAAGAACAAGCUCUCUGGAAGGAAACCAUAGAGACUAGGUUUGGAAUGGAGAGUUUGUGGAUUACCAGCUUGCCCACACAACCUUAUGGGUCUGGCCUAUGGAGAUUCAUCAGAAAUCUGUGGGCCAAAUUUUUUAACAAAUGCAAAACCAAGGUAGGGAAUGGUGGAAGGACACUGUUCUGGGAAGACAGAUGAGUGGAUCAGGUGACGUUGAGAAAUAGGUUCCCUAUUUUGCCCAACCCAAGCCUUCAAAAGAGGCUACUAUCAGAGAAAUGAGAUAAUCAGGGGUGGGAUCUCAUCUCAGGUUUAGGAGACAUCUAAAUGAUGGAAAGGUCAAUAGAGUAGUUGAGCUGCUCAACAUUAUUGGGCAGUGCAAAGAUGAGGACAAUCUAUUUUGGUAUCUAGAUAAGCAAGGCAGAUAUUCAGUUGGCUCAGCUUAUAGAAGCUCACAAAGACCUGGGACUCAUAUAGGUGGAUGGCCUCGGAAAGAUGAUUUGGAAAGUCAAGAUACCACUCAAGGUAGCAUGUUUCACUUUGUUGCUAGCUGAACAGGCUGCACUUACUCAACACAACUUCAUGAAAAGAGAGAGACUGUGAAGCUGUGGCAGAUUUUUCAUCCACUUAAGGGGGGGGCAUCAGUUGGACUAUGCCAGGGAACAUCAAAGAAGUUCUAGCUAGCUGGAACAGAAAUGGGAACAAGAAAUGUUUUAAAAAGAAGAGCUUCUCUAUGCAGAAUUUGAAGCUGAAUUGUCUGGUUCCUUUUUUUUUUUUGGGUGUAAACAUGAAUAUCCUCAAGAUGUAGAGGAUAUUCCUAGUAUUUUAGAUUACUAACGACCUACAUAGGAGUUUUCUCUUUUUGCAAUUUUUGGAUAUGAGUAUUACUAGAAUACUCCGUGUAUUCUUUUGUUUGUAAUAAAGUUACCUUUUUCAAAAAUAAAAAAUAAAAAAGGGUCUUAAAUACAGUA